CACGUAGGGUGCAAGCGUUGUCCGGAAUUAUUGGGCGUAAAGAGCUCGUAGGCGGUUUGUCGCGUCUGCUGUGAAAACUCGGGGCUUAACCCCGGGCCUGCAGUGGGUACGGGCAGACUAGAGUGCGGUAGGGGAGACUGGAAUUCCUGGUGUAGCGGUGAAAUGCGCAGAUAUCAGGAGGAACACCGAUGGCGAAGGCAGGUCUCUGGGCCAUAACUGACGCUGAGAAGCGAAAGCAUGGGGAGCGAACAGG
rnacentral:rRNA from 1 species